rnacentral:rRNA from 1 species
AUUGAACGCUGGCGGCAGGCUUAACACAUGCAAGUCGAGCGGAAACGAGAAUAGCUUGCUAUUCGGCGUCGAGCGGCGGACGGGUGAGUAAUGCUUGGGAACAUGCCUUGAGGUGGGGGACAACAGUUGGAAACGACUGCUAAUACCGCAUAAUGUCUUCGGACCAAAGGAGGGGAUCUUCGGACCUUUCGCCUUUAGAGUGGCCCAAGUGAGAUUAGCUAGUUGGUGGGGUAAAGCUCACCAAGGCGACGAUCUCUAGCUGGUUUUGAGAGGAUGAUCAGCCACACUGGGACUGAGACACGGCCCAGACUCCUACGGGAGGCAGCAGUGGGGAAUAUUGCACAAUGGGGGAAACCCUGAUGCAGCCAUG